UAGAAUCAUUAAUAUUAAAUAAUAAUAUCUACUAAAUCGAUAAUCGAAAAAUGGGAUUCUGAAAUCACUAUUUUUGAUAUCACUAAAAAAUGGACAGUUACAAUUCUCCCUUGUAAUAGGUCCAUUUAGCCCGGGCCCAUUAGAAUAAAAAAAUAGAAAUUAAAAACCAAAAAUAAAAAAAACACACAAAUAAAAAAUCCAAAUUCCAGUGUCCGGUUACAAAUAUUUGGGCCAAAAAUAACCUAAACCUUAACCCCUUAAUACAGACCUAACCCAAUCACAUAGUCCAAGAGGGCUAUACUAAAAUCCCUAGCCCGAACAGCCCAAACUCAAAAGGAAUCCCAGCAACCAAGCACCAGAAGCUUCUGGAACAUGCUAGAACAGUGCUAGGGGGUCGGGUCUCACGAGCGGUUUCUUCGCACGGCUUCUUUCACGCGUGCCUCUCCCCGCUCCUCCGUACGGAUGAUCCUGUAAAGAAUACACGAGAAGGAAUAGACUAACAGAAUAUACAAAAUGACAGCAUGAAAUAUUUUUAUUUUUCGCUAUUUUAUUCUGUAAAUUUAGGCUAUAGAAAGCCCUCGUUUGUACCCUGUAUUUUUCUACGCACACUACGCAAAUCCAAUACUGAGAAUGAAAAAAAUUAGAAAGGCGAUUUAAGAUUUUUCUUCCGUCUUCAAUAUUUUUUUUCCUUUUUUGCAUAUAUCAUGUUUUUAGUUUUUUUUUUUUUAAAAAUCAAGAAAAGCGAGAAAGUUACCUUCGUUAAAUGUAUCGAUGAGAUCCCUUGGCUUCUCCGUUGAAAUCGGGGUUAGCAAUGCGAAUUAUCAAGUGAGAAUGGUCUUUGAAUGUUGAUUUCGGAGGAAGUAAAGGCUGCUUCUACAUCACUCACCAAUUUUAAUGGUGAACUGGUGAUGAACGGGCCUUAGCAAAUGGAGGCUGCUGGAAUGAACCCUAAAGAACUGAUUUUAGGGCAGUGACUUUUAGUUUAAUUGUUGGCUGUGUUUGGAAAAUAAAUGGGAAAAGAAAGGUUUUGAAUAACCUAUUAAACAAAGCGGCACCGUUUACACCCAUGGAGGUCCGCGCAUUGGCCCGAUAAAGGAGUUGGAUCAGCGCCCUUUUUGUUUGAAUGGGUAUAUUGCGCGCUGGAUCCCUCCUUUCGCGUGCCGCCUCCAAUUGUGCCCUAUGUGUCUUCUUUGUUUUUUGUUAAUUUGGCUCUAUAAAUUUUUG
rnacentral:lncRNA from 1 species